AAUUGAAGUUUAUUCGGUGUAUGGAACAGCAGCAAAGGCUCACGCGUAGUGUUUCAGUUAGAGGUAGCGGCGCUAAGUCAAGAGGGACCGGGAGGGAUAACACUCCCGCUAUGCCAGCAACUAAUCCUCUGGUGAUGCAUUCACCGAUUGCUGACCAUACG